UGCCGAGAUGAGGAACAACAAAACCUCCACAGACA
rnacentral:tRNA from 1 species